rnacentral:tRNA from 2 species
GCCAGCUUAGCUCAGUUGGUAGAGCAGCGCACUCGUAACGCGCAGGUCACAGGUUCGAUCCCUGCAGCUGGCA